rnacentral:rRNA from 1 species
CCCUUUGUGAACUCAUACCUUACUGUUGCCUCGGCGCAGGCGGCCCCCCCAGGGGCCCUUCGGAGACGAGGAGCAGGCCCGCCGGGGCUAGCUAGAUCUUGUUUUUACACCGAAUCCCUGAGAAAAAACACAAAUAAAUCAAAAUUUUCAACAACGUAUCUCUUGAUUCGGGAAUCGAUGAAGAACGCAGCAAAAAUGCAAUAGGUAAUGUGAAUUGCAGAAUUCAGUGAAUCAUCGAAAUUUUUAAACGCACAUUGCCGCCCCUCUGGAUUCCGGAAGGGUAUGCCUGUCCAGGCAUCAUUUCAACCCUGAAGCCUGGCUGGUGUUUGUGCACUCCCUGUAGAAGGGCAGGCCCUGAAAUCUAGUGGCGGGCCGGCGGGCCCCCGAGCGCAGUAUAAAACCCUCGCUCGGGGGCCCUGCGGUGCCCUUGCCGUUAACCCCCAACUCCUGAAAUUUGACCUCGGAUCAGGUAGGAUACCCGCUGACUUAAGCAUAUCAAUA